rnacentral:rRNA from 1 species
GUGAGGAAUAUUGGUCAAUGGACGAGAGUCUGAACCAGCCAAGUAGCGUGAAGGAUGACUGCCCUAUGGGUUGUAAACUUCUUUUAUAUGGGAAUAAAGUGAGCCACGUGUGGCUUUUUGUAUGUACCGUAUGAAUAAGGAUCGGCUAACUCCGUGCCAGCAGCCGCGGUAAUACGGAGGAUCCGAGCGUUAUCCGGAUUUAUUGGGUUUAAAGGGAGCGUAGGCGGGUUGUUAAGUCAGUUGUGAAAGUUUGCGGCUCAACCGUAAAAUUGCAGUUGAUACUGGCGACCUUGAGUGCAACAGAGGUAGGCGGAAUUCGUGGUGUAGCGGUGAAAUGCUUAGAUAUCACGAAGAACUCCGAUUGCGAAGGCAGCUUACUGGAUUGUAACUGACGCUGAUGCUCGAAAGUGUGGGUAUCAAACAGGAUUAGAUACCCUAGUAGUCC